GGAGGGUAGAGCGCAUGCUUAACAUGCAUGAGGUCCUGGGUUCAAUCCCCAGAACCUCCU
rnacentral:tRNA from 1 species